rnacentral:rRNA from 1 species
CCUACGGGUGGCAGCAGUGAGGAAUAUUGGUCAAUGGACGAGAGUCUGAACCAGCCAAGUAGCGUGAAGGAUGACUGCCCUAUGGGUUGUAAACUUCUUUUAUAUGGGUAUAAAAUGUUCCACGUGUGGGAUUUUGUAUGUACCAUAUGAAUAAGGAUCGGCUAACUCCGUGCCAGCAGCCGCGGUAAUACGGAGGAUCCGAGCGUUAUCCGGAUUUAUUGGGUUUAAAGGGAGCGUAGGUGGAUUGUUAAGUCAGUUGUGAAAGUUUGCGGCUCAACCGUAAAAUUGCAGUUGAAACUGGCAGUCUUGAGUACAGUAGAGGUGGGCGGAAUUCGUGGUGUAGCGGUGAAAUGCUUAGAUAUCACGAAGAACUCCGAUUGCGAAGGCAGUUCACUGGACUGCAACUGACACUGAGGCUCGAAAGUGUGGGUAUCAAACAGGAUUAGAGACCCUUGUAGUC